rnacentral:rRNA from 1 species
UGUUGGAGAGUUUGAUCCUGGCUCAGGACGAACGCUGGCGGCGUGCUUAACACAUGCAAGUCGAGCGGAAAGGCCCUUCGGGGUACUCGAGCGGCG